rnacentral:lncRNA from 1 species
CCGGCAUAAAAAAGGAGGAUCACCAUUUGCAGAAGGGGAGAUCGUGAUUUGGUGAGGACGGAGGCUUAAAUGGCUUGAUAGAAGUGCAUGCUCUAACCAAUGCAACCAAAAGACCGAUCUGAUGGAAAAGAUUAGACAACACAUUAUACGUCAACAGUCACAGGGAAAGAAGAAAUGAAGAAGGAUGCAGCGUAGAGAUGUGAACAUUGGCUUGGAAGUCAAGUCUAGACCAAUUACCACUUGUCAAAUGCACAUGUGGAUGUCAU